AACCAGACUCCUACGGGAGGCAGCAGUGAGGAAUAUUGGUCAAUGGCCGAGAGGCUGAACCAGCCAAGUCGCGUGAGGGAAGACGGCCCUACGGGUUGUAAACCUCUUUUGUCGGGGAGCAAAGAGAGUCACGUGUGACUCAUUGAGAGUACCCGAAGAAAAAGCAUCGGCUAACUCCGUGCCAGCAGCCGCGGUAAUACGGAGGAUGCGAGCGUUAUCCGGAUUUAUUGGGUUUAAAGGGUGCGCAGGCGGAGGUGCAAGUCAGCGGUCAAAUUGCGGGGCUCAACCCCGUACUGCCGUUGAAACUGCAUCCCUUGAGUGCGCGAGAAGUAUGCGGAAUGCGUGGUGUAGCGGUGAAAUGCAUAGAUAUUGCGCAGAACUCCGAUUGCGAAGGCAGCCUACCGACUCCUGUCUGACGCUGAGGCACGAAAGCGUGGGUAUCGAACAGGAUUAGAUACCCGCGUAAU
rnacentral:rRNA from 1 species